rnacentral:rRNA from 1 species
CCUACGGGCCGCACCAGUGGGGAAUAUUGCACAAUGGGCGCAAGCCUGAUGCAGCCAUGCCGCGUGUGUGAAGAAGGCCUUCGGGUUGUAAAGCACUUUCAGCGAGGAGGAAGGUGGUGAGCUUAAUACGCUCAUCAAUUGACGUUACUCGCAGAAGAAGCACCGGCUAACUCCGUGCCAGCAGCCGCGGUAAUACGGAGGGUGCAAGCGUUAAUCGGAAUUACUGGGCGUAAAGCGCACGCAGGCGGUUUGUUAAGUCAGAUGUGAAAUCCCCGGGCUCAACCUGGGAACUGCAUUUGAAACUGGCAAGCUAGAGUCUCGUAGAGGGGGGUAGAAUUCCAGGUGUAGCGGUGAAAUGCGUAGAGAUCUGAAGGAAUACCAGUGGCGAAGGCGGCCCCCUGGACAAAGACUGACGCUCAGAUGCGAAAGCGUGGGGAUCAAACAGGAUUAGAUACCCGCGUAGUC